rnacentral:rRNA from 1 species
UGGGGAAUUUUCCGCAAUGGGCGCAAGCCUGACGGAGCAAUACCGCGUGAGGGAGGAAGGCUUUUGGGUUGUAAACCUCUUUUUUCAAGGAAGAAGCAAGUGACGGUACUUGAAGAAUCAGCAUCGGCUAACUCCGUGCCAGCAGCCGCGGUAAUACGGAGGAUGCAAGCGUUAUCCGGAAUCAUUGGGCGUAAAGCGUCCGCAGGUGGUGCUUCAAGUCUGCUGUCAAAGCCCAGGGCUCAACCCUGGAGAGGCAGUGGAAACUGAAGGACUUGGAGUGCGGUAGGGGUAGAGGGAAUUCCCGGUGUAGCGGUGAAAUGCGUAGAGAUCGGGAAGAACACCAGUGGCGCAAGCGCUCUACUGGACCGCAACUGACACUGAGGGACGAAAGCUAGGGGAGCGAAUGGGAUUAGAUACCCCCGUAGUCC